GUUAUAUAUCAGUGAUAUCUUAAUUUUUUUAAAAAAAGGAUGCAAACUAUUUGGGCUUCCCCUUUGGUUGCAGGACUGUAUUUCUAUGGUCCCAAUAUCACUCUGAGACUGUCAUGGGGUGAUGGUUUUAUAUGUUUGGAAUGAAUUACACUAAUGAGCCGUAUGGAGAUACAUUUAUAUACAUAUAAAGCAAUGCAAUAUGGUGGUUCAGAACAUGAACUUUUGAGCUGGCUGAACUUCUGUCCAAAUUCCAGCUCUGUAGCUGACUUUCCAGUUGAGCUUGUUUCUAAACAUCUUUGAGUGCCAGUUUCAUCAUCUAUAAAGAACAGAGAUAGCAGAGCUUCCCUCGUCAGAUUGUUGUGGGGAUUAAAGGAUAUAACUCAUUUGCAGAGCACCUAAGAGAGCAUCUGGCAUGCAGGGCAUCAUCAUUGGUCAUCAAAGCAACCCUUUCCAAUGAUGCCUUGUGAAAAUAGUUAUUGCUUAAGAAGCCCUUCCAACCUGCUGAGUCUCUCAGGGAGGCCUCCAAGACUUAGUAUUCGAGUUGGGGUCAGAACAGCAAAGAUUAUUUUCAGAUUCAGGGUUCCUGCAGGAUGUUCACCAGUAGACAGAUGUGGUUACAGGGAUCUAGAUUUACCUACCCUUUAUGUUAGAACAGGAACUAGCAAGGGUCAACCCUUGUGGCUUUGCGAGAGUAUGUAAUUCAACCUAAUUGAAAGGCAGAGUCCAUGUAACACUACUAAACCAGAAAAUGCGCUGUACCUGAUGAUCCGUGUGUGUGUGUCAGGGGAUGGGAAAAAAAAGUUAGAUAUGGAAAAGAGGAUCUUUGUGUUCAUACCUCUGGUGCAGUUUUCCUAGAACUCUUAGAGGCAGGCCCAGAAGUGGAAACAAGCCUGUCCUUGACUGUGCACACGUGCCUUAAACCAAGAGUGAUUUAAAGGAUGGUGCAGAGGCCGCCAUAAACUAGAGGGUGUGCAAAGGAAGUGUUUUCCUGAGGCUGAAGUCCUCUUCCCCAAGCUGUCUGUACAGAGAGGCCAUGGGUCACCCCUGGACUGACUGACCAGGCCUGGUGUCUGGCUGCCUGUGCUGACUUCAUCUUUGACCCGGAAAAAGCCACAUUUCCUCUUCAGGCCUCUGUGCCUUCUGCCCAGUGAGCUGGUUGGACCCUGUGAACUUUCAGGCAGCAUGGAGUUUCUUAGGCUGGGUGACUCCUCACUGCAUAAUGACCCCGUGGCUCAAGCAGGUGAAGGUCGUCUACAGCCAUUGUUGUUUAGUCGUUAAGUCAUGUCCAAUUCUUUGUGACCCCAUGGACUGAAGCCAGCCAGGCUUCUCUGUCCAUGGGAUUCUCCAGGCAAAAAUACUGGAGUGGGUUGACAUUUCCUCCUCCAAGGGAUCUUUCCAACUCAGGGAUCGAACCCUUGUCUCCUGCACUGGCAGGCAGAUUCAUUACCACAGAGGCACCAGGGGCGGUGCUGAGCUUCAGUAGGUCAGGUGCAUCCUCGCUGUUCGACGACUCCGCCUGGUUGGAGCAGGUGAGAGUCAUCCACAGUCGAGCUGCAGGCUUUCCUUGGUGGAUCUGAACUCACACACUCUCCAGUCCAUAGCCGAAGCUGCAGCUCUCAAAGGCAUCAGGCUCAGGAGGAGAGACAGACACCAUGACAAGUGUCCACUCUAAGAUCCCCAUCGAAUGGAGGAAACAGAUAUAUGUUCAAAAAUUAGUGGCAUAAGAGCUAUCAUCAAGACAUCCUUAUGGUCUGAUGGAGAUCAGAGGAAAAGCUGUUAAUAGCCUGGGAUUGUCAUGGAAGGCUUCUUGGAGGAGAUGAUGGUGACUGAGCUUAUCUUGAUGGGAUGAAGCAAAAGGGGGUCAGCUUGGAGCCAAGUAAGAAAAAGAUGCUCCCUCUCUGACUUUAAACAUACCUGCGCAGUGAGUGUGCCACAUUUCAAAAAUGAGAACUGAUGAAGCAGGAAGAAAAGGCGGAUUGGAAUCUGAAUGCAUUAGUAGCGGUCUCUUGUGAGAGUUGGCUGGAAAGCGCUCAGGGCAUCCUGCAUAGGGCUGUCUGCCGAAUUGACUUGGCCUGUGUCCUUUCCCUUCCCAACUCUGCUCCCUUCAUAUGUCCUAAUAGGUUAUGGCUUCCAGGAGGAAAUAUGCUGUGCAUUUUCAGAGAGGCAUUUUGGAAACACAAAGCCUGACAUCAAAGGAGUAGUUUGUUCUUUCUAGGAAAAAAAAAAGUAAAAUGUUGCUAUAAAAAGUAAUAAAGUCUAAAGUAGAAAGUACAAGUCCCUUGAUUAGUUUAUUUAUUUAUUUAUUUAUUACCUUUUAGAAAAUCUCCAAUGCAAUCAAAUUACACCUGCUUUGUAAUUUUUUCCUACUUUCCAUUUCUUAGAUUUCUUAAAAAGUGAGUCAGUAGCAAUGCCUUAAUG
ensembl:lncRNA